rnacentral:rRNA from 1 species
AGAGUUUGAUCAUGGCUCAGAAUCAACGCUGGCGGCGCGCCUAACACAUGCAAGUCGAACGAGAAAGCAGGAGCAAUCUUGUGAGUAAAGUGGCGUACGGGUGAGUAACACGUGGAUCAUCUACCCUCUUGUGGGGGAUAACUCUGGGAAACCGGAGCUAAUACCGCAUAAGUCCGAGAGGAGAAAGCAGCAAUGCGCAGGAGGAGGAGUCCGCGGCCGAUUAGCUAGUUGGUAGGGUAAAAGCCUACCAAGGCUACGAUCGGUAGCCGGCCUGAGAGGGCACACGGCCACACUGGCACUGAAACACGGGCCAGACUCCUACGGGAGGCAGCAGUGGGGAAUCUUGCACAAUGGGGGCAACCCUGAUGCAGCGACGCCGCGUGAGCGAUGAAGCCCUUCGGGGUGUAAAGCUCUUUCGGCAGGGAAGAUUAUGACGGUACCUGCAGAAGCAGCUGCGGCUAACUACGUGCCAGCAGCCGCGGUAAUACGUAGGCAGCGAGCGUUGUUCGGAGUUACUGGGCGUAAAGGGUGUGUAGGCGGUCUUCUAAGUCUGGUGUGAAAUCUCCCGGCUCAACUGGGAGGGUGCGCCGGAAACUGGGAGGCUAGAGUGCGGGAUGGGAGAGUGGAAUUCCUGGUGUAGCGGUGAAAUGCGUAGAUAUCAGGAGGAACACCUGUGGUGUAGACGGCUCUCUGGACCGCAACUGACGCUGAGACACGAAAGCGUGGGUAGCAAACAGGAUUAGAUACCCUAGUAGUCC